CACCUGGUUGAUCCUGCCAGUAGUCAUAUGCUUGUCUCAAAGAUUAAGCCAUGCAUGUCUAAGUAUAAGCUUUAAACGGCGAAACUGCGAAUGGCUCAUUAAAACAGUUAUAGUUUAUUUGGUGAUCGAUUACUAUUUGGAUAACCGUAGUAAUUCUAGAGCUAAUACAUGCGUCAAGGCCCGACUUCGGAAGGGCUGCGUUUAUUAGAUACAGAACCAACCUAGGCUCCGCCUAGUCCUUGUUGGUGAUUCAUAAUAACCCGGCGAAUCGCACGGCUUGUCCGGCGAUGGACCAUUCAAGUUUCUGACCUAUCAGCUAUGGACGGUAGGGUAUUGGCCUACCGUGGCGUUGACGGGUAACGGGGAAUUAGGGUUCGAUUCCGGAGAGGGAGCCUGAGAAACGGCUACCACAUCUAAGGAAGGCAGCAGGCGCGCAAAUUACCCAAUCCUGAUACAGGGAGGUAGUGACAAGAAAUAACAAUACAGGGCAAUUCUGUCUUGUAAUGG
rnacentral:ncRNA from 1 species